CCUUAUUGCGUUUACUGUCGGAAAAUGAAGGAAAUUUGGGAAUUCAAAAAACGCAGAGGAAAGCUUGAAUCGAAAGGGGAAAAAAUACAAAGAAAAAGUUCCAGGGGAGAACUCAGAACCGAAGCAAGGGUUGAUUCCAUCUAUCAAAGCUGCGAAAUUUGUAUCCCAGAGAAAGAAGCAGAGGAGAAGUCCAGCUACAACUGAACCGAAGGAAGGGUCGAAUCGAGCAUUCAAAGCUGCGAAAUUCCGAUCCCAGCUGAAAAUGGUGGGAAGCGUAGAGGUUGUAACGAGGGAAGCAGAGCAGAGCAGAAAGUACGACGAACUCCAACAAUAAUUUUAGAAUAUGAUGAAGAUGUUUCAGCAGUUGCAACAUCCGCCGUCAUAGUGUAUUGUAUAAAUAUUUUUAUCAUUUUAACUUUUAACAUUUUUAAAAAUAAUAUGAUUUAUAUUUGAUUUAUUGAUAUUAAUAUUAUUUUAUUUGUUUAAUUUAAAA